CAAGCGGUGGAGCAUGUGGUUUAAUUCGACGCAACGCGAAGAACCUUACCUGGGCUCGAACGGCUUUGGACGAUCUUUGGAAACAGAGAUUUUCCCGCAAGGGACUGAAGUCGAGGUGCUGCAUGGCUGUCGUCAGCUCGUGUCGUGAGAUGUUGGGUUAAGUCCCGCAACGAGCGCAACCCUUGUCCUGUGUUGCAACUAAUAGGCACUCUCAGGAGACCGCCAGCGAUAAGCUGGAGGAAGGUGGGGAUGACGUCAAGUCAUCAUGGCCUUUAUGUCCAGGGCUACACACGUGCUACAAUGGGCGGUACAGACCGCUGCAAACCCGCGAGGGGGGGCAAAUCGGAAAAAACCGUUCUCAGUUCGGAUUGCAGGCUGCAACUCGCCUGCAUGAAGCUGGAAUCGCUAGUAAUGGCAUAUCAAAACGAUGCCGUGAAUACGUUCCCGGGCCUUGUACACACC
rnacentral:rRNA from 1 species